AGAGUUUGAUCCUGGCUCAGGACGAACGCUGGCGGCGCGCCUAACACAUGCAAGUCGAACGGAGCUGAGAAGAGCUUGCUUUUCUUAGCUUAGUGGCGAACGGGUGAGUAACGCGUGAGUAACCUGCCCUGGAGUGGGGGACAACAGUUGGAAACGACUGCUAAUACCGCAUAAGCCCACGGCCCGGCAUCGGAUUGAGGGAAAAGGAUUUAUUCGCUUCAGGAUGGACUCGCGUCCAAUUAGCUAGUUGGUGAGGUAACGGCCCACCAAGGCGACGAUUGGUAGCCGGACUGAGAGGUUGAACGGCCACAUUGGGACUGAGACACGGCCCAGACUCCUACGGGAGGCAGCAGUGGGGGAUAUUGCACAAUGGGGGAAACCCUGAUGCAGCGACGCCGCGUGGAGGAAGAAGGUUUUCGGAUUGUAAACUCCUGUCGUUAGGGACGAUAAUGACGGUACCUAACAAGAAAGCACCGGCUAACUACGUGCCAGCAGCCGCGGUAAAACGUAGGGUGCAAGCGUUGUCCGGAAUUACUGGGUGUAAAGGGAGCGCAGGCGGACCGGCAAGUUGGAAGUGAAAACUAUGGGCUCAACCCAUAAAUUGCUUUCAAAACUGCUGGCCUUGAGUAGUGCAGAGGUAGGUGGAAUUCCCGGUGUAGCGGUGGAAUGCGUAGAUCUCGGGAGGAACACCAGUGGCGAAGGCGACCUACUGGGCACCAACUGACGCUGAGGCUCGAAAGCAUGGGUAGCAAACAGGAUUAGAUACCCUGGUAGUCCAUGCCGUAAACGAUGAUUACUAGGUGUUGGAGGAUUGACCCCUUCAGUGCCGCAGUUACACAAUAAGUAAUCCACCUGGGGAGUACGACCGCAAGGUUGAAACUCAAAGGAAUUGACGGGGGCCCGCACAAAGCAGUGGAGUAUGUGGUUUAAUUCGAAGCAACGCGAAGAACCUUACCAGGUCUUGACAUCCGAUGCAUAGCUUAGAGAUUAGUGACGUCCUUCGGGACCUCGAGACAGGUGGUGCCUGGUUGUCGUCCGCUCGUGUCGUGAGAUGUUGGGUUCAGUCCCGCAAGAGCGCAACCUUUUUGCAGUUCCUCGCCCGAGGACUCUGGCGAGACUGCCGUUGACAAACG
rnacentral:rRNA from 1 species